GCUGCUGCUGUUGUUGCUGCAUCAUUUGUUGCUGUUGCUGUUGUUGCUGCAUCAUUUGUUGCUGCUGCUGCAGGAGCUGCUGC
rnacentral:sRNA from 1 species